rnacentral:tRNA from 1 species
AAUCUCUUCUUUAGCAGAAAAUUGCCUUAGACUUAGAAUCUAAAAAUACCCCA